rnacentral:rRNA from 1 species
GACGAACGCUGGCGGCGGGCCUAAUACAUGCAAGUAGAACGCAGUUGCGAACGGGUGAGUAACACGUAGGUAACUGCCUCAUAGGGGGGGGUAACUAUUGGAAAAGAGAGCUAAUACCGCAUACUGGGAGAUAGACCGGCGUUGUAUUAGCGAGUUGGUGAGGUAAAGGCGCACCAAGGCGACGAUACAUAGCCGACCUGGGAGGUUGAUCCGCCACACCGGGACUGGGACACUGGCCCGACCCCUACGGGGGGCAGGAGUAGGGAAUCUUCGGAAAUGGACGGAAGUCUGACCGAGCAACGCCGCGUUGGUGAAGAAGGUUUUCGGAUCGUAAAGCUCUGUUGUUAGAGAAGCGUUAACUACCCAGAAAGGGACGGCUAACUACGUGCCAGCAGCCGCGGUAAUAC